rnacentral:rRNA from 1 species
UACGUAGGGGGCAAGCGUUGUCCGGAAUUAUUGGGCGUAAAGAGCGUGUAGGCGGUCCGGUAAGUCAGCUGUGAAAGUCAAGGGCUCAACCCUUGAAAGCCGGUUGAUACUGUCGGGCUAGAGUCCGGAAGAGGCGAGUGGAAUUCCCGGUGUAGCGGUGAAAUGCGCAGAUAUCGGGAGGAACACCUAUUGCGAAGGCAGCUCGCUGGGACGUUACUGACGCUGAGACGCGAAAGCGUGGGGAGCAAACAGG